AUAGAUAGAUAGAUAGAUAGAUAGAUUUUGUGUUGCUGCCAGUGACACUAUGUGGCAGUGUGGGCUGCUGGCAGUUGCAGUGUGUGUGGUACUCUGCUCGUCAUUGUGCUGGAAGCAAUGAAGGUGUGUUUGUGAGCGCUGUAAAAGGACUACCCCCCCCACACACACACAAACACACACCCCGGCCCCUCCUAGUCAGGCAGUACAUUUCAUACAGACUUACACACCAUGUCCGCCUCAUCCUUCCCUUCCCACCAGUGUCAGCAGGUAACAGGUAACAGAUAAGCCUUCCCGGAGCACAAUUUGGAAGGUCAGCUAAAGAGAUAUCAGUAUCCUUUCCAAAGAGGGGUCUUCUCAGUGCCUUUAUCAUAAUGGGACUGUGUUAACAGACAAUGAUGGUGUGAACUGGACUGGAGAGUGUGUAAGUGAGUGAAACUAGACCAGUGUGAUCCACAACAAUGACCCAAGCUGAACAAAAGGAAACACUAAAUGAAGGAGAUAUGUCACCAACUGCAGUGACAUCCAUGAAACCAUAAGUAGAUUGCAUUCUCAUUCCAUACACAUUGUACGUGAUUUGGUAGCAUCACAAGAGUGUCUUUAAAUUCUCUACUGAAAGACACCAGUCACACCCACAUGGAGCAAUACUUGGGAAAGCCACCUGAAAAGGACCAAACUGACUGAACGUAUGACCAGCUAAACUUUGUUUGCAGAUUUUCCUAAAUCAAAAAGUCCUUGUCUCAAAUUUCUCCUCAUCCUCUCAAACAGCUUGUGUCCCACUUUGGGCAGAGAAGCAUGCGAAGAUUCGGGGAGAUUUAGCAGCCCGCUGACAAAUCGCCUCUUCUUCUAAUCUCCCACAAACUGCCUUCUCACCUGCUAGAAUCUAAAUCGCCAGCGGGAUGGCACACGGAGCACUUCGUUUUACGAAGUUGCCCGAAGUUGCCUCAUGAGGAAACAUGAGCACAAAAGCAGUAAAAUGUCCUUUUUAAUGACAUUAUCCCCAGAUCUUCCUAGACAAUAAUAUGUCACCCUAAUCCAGACAUAAUGAAGUUAUUUCCAGGACUUUAUAUUGUCUCCCAGGUAAUACAACUUUUCACCUGGUCAUAAAAUAAUUCAAAUCAGCUUGGCUUUGUAUCAUUUGAUUGAGCAUGCCACUGUGCAUUUUACAAAUGUAUAAAAACAUUUUGAAAUUAAGAAAAAUAUGACAAUAGCAAAAAUUAUCACACUGUAAUGUGUUAGAAAAAUAAGUUUAGGGAAACCAUAUGAUUAUAGACCAUCAGUUUAGCUAUAAGAAAACCCAGAGAGUUGAUGCUGGGGCACCAAUGGCACCCAUUAUAUUUAAAAGGCCAUGCACCAGCUUAUAUCUAAAUAUUUAGUUUUGCCUUGGGUUCUUAAUUUGGUAUGAGACCAUAGCCUAUUUUGUUCAUUGAAGGCUAUUCUCCUUCUUAGGCAAGCAAUACUGAAAACCCAGCUCAGAUCUUUUAAUGGAAAGAUACAGCAAAUUAAUUCUUUAUCAUGUGCAAUAACUUUUAGCAGAUACACCAACUAUGGCUUAACACUGAAAUAUUAAUCGUUUUCUGAUAUUUU